rnacentral:rRNA from 1 species
GAUCAUGGCUCAGGAUGAACGCUAGCUACAGGCUUAACACAUGCAAGUCGAGGGGCAGCAUGAACUUAGCUUGCUAAGUUUGAUGGCGACCGGCGCACGGGUGAGUAACACGUAUCCAACCUUCCGUUUACUCAGGGAUAGCCUUUCGAAAGAAAGAUUAAUACCUGAUAGUAUGGUGAGAUUGCAUGAUAGCACCAUAAAGAUUUAUUGUAACGAUGGGGAUGCGUUCCUA